CCCAAUGUGGCUCAGUUGGUAGAGCAUGGCACUUGCAAUGCCAGGGUUGUGGGUUUGAUACACAUGGGGG
rnacentral:tRNA from 1 species